rnacentral:rRNA from 1 species
UACAGAGGUCCCGAGCGUUGUUCGGAUUCACUGGGCGUAAAGGGUGCGCAGGUGGGCUGUUAAGACCGAUGUGAAAUCCCCGGGCUUAACCUGGGAACUGCAUUGGUGACUGGCAGGCUUUGAGUGUGGCAGAGGGAGGUAGAAUUCCACGUGUAGCAGUGAAAUGCGUAGAGAUGUGGAGGAAUACCGAUGGCGAAGGCAGCCUCCUGGGCCAACACUGACGCUCAUGCACGAAAGCGUGGGGAGCAAACAGG